rnacentral:piRNA from 1 species
UCUAGACCACGUGAAACAGAUUGAUAACU